rnacentral:tRNA from 1 species
GGAGGGUAUCCGAACGGUGAGGAGCCUGAUUCGAAAUCAGGUGCCCCGAAAGGGGUUGCGGGUUCGAAUCCCGUGCCCUCCG